GGAAGUUGUCUUACAUGACGGCACGAUUACGCAGCAGAUCCAAUCGAAAUCCCGUGGCGAUCAGCGAGCGAAUGCAAUUCUUUAUUCGUAGGGGGCGGGUUGGCAGUAUUAUAUAUAGUGGAGCCGAGAGGGAGAGGGAGACGUUGCAUCCGAUUCCAUUUUAGAGCGGUGGGCCCGGCUGAUCCGGUGCGGCCGCUGUGCCACCGCCCCGCCGUACGACGGUGGCGCUAGAAUUGGGAAACAGAGGAGAAAAUAUACGAUUUCCACCGUGCCACUGAAUCGGAUGUUAUUUGAAGCAGAAAUGUUCAUUUUUCUCCUAGCUAGGAAUGGUCUUGCGGGAUCCGUUUGAAUGGGACGAAUACGUGCAGUGGGGAUGGAGGAAGUUUUUUUUCGGUCGCCUAAACAGGGACUAGGAUGGAGAAUGAAUUGAAAAGGUUUUUUCUCGUCCCCGUCCACCUCACCAUUUUUAUAUUUAUAUACACUUAACAAAUCUUAUUGUUCUCUUUAUGUUUACAAAUAUUGAAAGAUCCUAUUUUUUUUCUACCCAUACAAUAUG